rnacentral:rRNA from 1 species
AGUGAACGCUGGCGGUAGGCCUAACACAUGCAAGUCGAACGGCAGCACAGUAAGAGCUUGCUCUUACGGGUGGCGAGUGGCGGACGGGUGAGGAAUACAUCGGAAUCUACUUUUUCGUGGGGGAUAACGUAGGGAAACUUACGCUAAUACCGCAUACGACCUACGGGUGAAAGCAGGGGAUAUUCGGACCUUGCGCGAUUGAAUGCGCCGAUGUCGGAUUAGCUAGUUGGCGGGGUAAAGGCCCACCAAGGCGACGAUCCGUAGCUGGUCUGAGAGGAUGAUCAGCCACACUGGAACUGAGACACGGUCCAGACUCCUACGGGAGGCAGCAGUGGGGAAUAUUGGACAAUGGGCGCAAGCCUGAUCCAGCCAUACCGCGUGGGUGAAGAAGGCCUUCGGGUUGUAAAGCCCUUUUGUUGGGAAAGAAAAGCAGCAGGUUAAUACCCCGCUGUUCUGACGGUACCCAAAGAAUAAGCACCGGCUAACUUCGUG